GGGCGGAGCUCGGCACCCCCUCGGGAGAGGCCUCCCAGCCCCCAGGGGAGCUCCUGUGAGGGCCCCUCUGGGGCGGGGACGUCCUCAGUGUGCCGGGGACCCUUCCUCCCCGGGAAUGACCCUCCUGGCGCCUAAAGACCCCCUUUUCCUCCCAGGGACCGAGGCGCCCGGCACCUUCUGUACCUGUGACCCCGACGCCCAAGGGAUCCAGGCCACAGGGAGCUUGAAGCUCCUUUGCAAUGAAAAAAGAAAACAACAAACAAAACUUCGAGAAUGAAACUGACCCAGGACGGAGGCGCAGAGCCCGGGACGGUGUCCGUGUUCUAGGCGCACGCGGGGCCCCCGCCCGCCCGGUGACUCUGACGACCCCGGAACGGCCAGUUUAGGAAGCGGGUUAAGAUCACGCGCCUGCAACACUUUUAAGCUUCAGAGCAGAGCAGUGUUAAUUCCGGUGUUGGCGAGAAACGGAGGGGAUUUCGCCCACACAGACACUCCCCUGCCACAAGUGCCUUCCAGUUGCCCCUUCUCCCGGCGGUUGGGCUCUUUAAAAGGUCUGGCGUUGAGUCUUGCGGAAGCGGUUAACUACUGUGAGCCUUAAUGAGGGAGUAAUUUUCUCCCCCAACUUUUCAGGACUGACAGUGCGUUAUGCAGCAUGGGACCCUCUUCCAACAUUUUCAGGCUGUGAGGCUCGUCAUGGUUGUCUGUCCUGGGAAAAAGUCGGCACCGUUGGGGUUUUGUGUCCGCCAAGAUAAAGAGGAAGGGUUGCCCUAGAGAAAGUUUGUCUGAAAAAAGAGUUUCUAAGUUUCGGUGUGGCUCUCUUCGGCAUCAGUGGGCAUUUUUACUGUGUUUUACUGCUAUACGUUCCUAUAGAAAGGAUUACUCUCUAAAUUCCAUAAAAUUUGUAGAGAUCUAAAUUUAGAGUUGAGCGAAUGAAAUGAAGGAAUCGUUAUAGGUAUCAUUGGUACCGCUUAGUAAUCUUCUCUUGAAAUGUGAGGCUUGUGGGGUGUUUUACAUAUUUGCCUCAGUGGUGAAAGACCCUUUUACUGAUCAGAAAAUAACUUAUUUUACUAAUUAGGAAACCAAAUGGGACAUCAAUUUUAUCCUGCUUUUAAAGAGGAAACGAGGAGCAGCGUUGCAAACUGUCCUAGGCACCCCCUUUCCAGCCAUAUAUAUGGGGUGGGAGCACACGGUUUUCCCUGCCCCGACUACCUGGAUCUCUGGUGAAUGGCACUACCACAGAGAGAAAUGCAGUGCUCAGGCUUUGUUUUACAAUUGGUUUAGAUGUUGGGGAUUCCUGCUGAGCCAAAUGGUUGCCUCGGGGAGAGGGACAUGGGCUGAGAGAGCCAGGCAGCAGGUCAAGGAAGCAGCAGCCUGAGCCAGUGUCUGUUUAAGGACUGGAAACUGAGCAAGUGCUGAGGACUGUUGUACACUCCCUGGGCUCUGCCUCUGGGUAAGCAAGUCUCAGGCUUCCUUUGGUUUUUUUUAAUGUUAAAGUUUAUUUCCCUCUUUCCUAGGUAAAUACUGUUGCUAGUAAUGUUUAUUUUUUCCAAAUUGAUAAUGUUCCAUGCAACUGUAACAGGGAGAUUGGGAGGUUGGUGACUGCUGGCUUUCUGUAAAAUGGAUUCCCAGAGUAUUGGCACUUAGUUCACUACUUAUUUUACUCCUGGCUGGAAAUGAUGGGAGAUUCCCAGUGUCAGGAAGUUUGGAGAAUGUAGCUGUUUUAAAGGAACUCUACUUAAAGGUAGCUUUUUAUUCAUCAAAGGUAGCUAGCUGGUAGGUAGCCCAAUAAAAGACUCUUUACCAAACACACACAUAUACACACACACAAAACCAUAAAAAGUUAGCAUAUGAUAUUCUUAACAUUGUUUUUCUCAAUUUCCUACCAGGCUCAGUCCAGUUCAAGAUGCUGGCAAACAGGUAUGGACCAAAUGGAAAGAAUUUGGCUUGAGUUAAUAAAUACGAAUAGAAUUCUUGGCCAAGGAUGAGAACUCUAAUCUGAUUGGAUAUCCUGCUCUGAUGGGUUAAAGGAUUUACCUGAGGCCAACUUGAUAGGGCUGGUGCUUGAAAGCUUUUCGAGGAGACAAGGUGUAUUUGAACAUGUGACGAUUGAUAUAUACAGAGUAGAGGUUUUCGCUUACUGUCCCUUUCAUGGUGGUAGCAGGGGAGGACUUUUGAAAAGGUGCCAAAUAUCUGCAAGAACAUAUAUCUGCCCCAUAGAGAAUUUCUGUAGAAUUCAACUCCAUUUAAACUAUUUUAAAUCAUUUUUCUGCCAGCCAGCCCCAGCCUGCAGCUCAACAUAGUAACUAGACUAGCUAUUCUAUCAAUACAGCUAUCUUAAGAAAACUGUCAGCUGCUUGAAUUUACAAAGGUUAGUUCUAAAUCCCAUACUUUUGACUAUUCUAAACAUUGUAUGUUUCAAAGUAUCCUUUUAAAAACUUGUUUUUUUGUGCUUACAGUUUUUCCUAUAAUAGAUUAUUUUGAUGAUUAAGUUUGACCCCUUUGACAGAUCAGUGGAUUCCUAAGGAUCAGGGAGGAGUUUGUUGCAUAGGGUUUGGUCGGGGGUGGGUGUUGAAGAACUGCUCUACACUUUGAUUAUGGUGCUGUUUGCCUUUGUCAAAUUUUGGAGUGAGUUUUACUGAAUGUAAAUUCAACUUCAAUAAACAUGGCUUUAAAAACUUA